rnacentral:rRNA from 1 species
AUCUGAAGUCAAGCAAGAGCACGCGCUGAACUUAAGCAUAUCACUAAGCGCAGGUAAAAGAAAAUAACUAUGAUUGCCUCAGUAACGGCGAGUGAACCGGCAAUAGCCCAAGAUGAGAAUCGCUGCUCUGCGAGCACGCGAGUUGUAAUCUAAAGGGUGGUCACUGACUGGUUCUUCUGACGCCCAAGUGUCUUGGAAUAGACCGCCAGGGAGGGUGAAAGCCCCGUACGGUGUCGGAGGAACGCUAGGUGGCCGCUUGAAGAGUCGAGUUGUUCGGGACUGCAGCUCUAAGUGGGAGGUAGACUUCUCCUAAGGCUAAAUAACUAUGAGAGACCGAUAGCGAACAAGUAAUGUGAAUGAAAGAUGAAAAAUAAAUUUCCUUCCGUAAGAACUUUGAAUGAACAAAAGAGAAUUAAAGAGACCUGAAACCGUUGAGGUGGAAGCGAUAGGAAGUUUUCAUUUGGUUGGGAGCUGGCAAAACGGAUUCGUCUGUGAGUUUGCUCCCGGCCGAAGCGGUUGUUUGCCUUUGGGCGCCUCAGAAACCCAUCUGGGCCAGAGCUUCGGCAUCACUUAGAUGGAGAAUGUUGCGGCUGAGGGCAAGGAACCUUUGAUGUUUUCCUACCGACUCGUCUUGAAACACGAACCAAGGAGUCUAACAGACAUGCGAUUAUGUUGGUGCUUUGAAAACCAUACAUGAGCAAUGAAAGUAAGCGGUGCCAAUCGUAAGAUGCAGCAUCGGCCAGUUGUGAUCCUCUGGAGAAGCGUACUGGCUGUGAGCAUAUCUGUUAGGACCCGAAAGAUGGUGAACUACGCUUGAGUAGGGUGAAGCCAGGGGAAACUCUUGUGGAAGCCCGAAGCGGUACUGACGUGCAAAUCGUUCGUCAAACUUGAGUGUAGGGGCGAAAGACUAAUCGAACCAUCUAGUAGCUGGUUCCCUCCGAAGUUUCUCUCAGGAUAGCAAGGACAAUUAAAGCAGUUUUUAUUUCAAUUAGGUAAAGAAUAAAUGAUUAGAAGCAUCUGGGGGUUUUAUUAGUGCUCUCGACUUAGUUCUCAAACUCUAAAUAUUUGUAAUAACUCGGUAUUCCUUAACUGAAGAUCGAGGCAGAAUGCUUGUCCUUAGUGGGCCAUUUUUGGUAAGCAGAACUGGCGAUGAGGGAUGAACCUAACUCUGGGUUAAGGUGCCAAACUGCACGCGCAUCAGAUACCUCAAAGGGUGUGUUGAUUCAUUUAGACAGCAGGACGGUGGCCAUGGAAGUCGGAAUCCGCUAAGGAGUGUGUAACAACUCACCUGCCGAAUGAAUUAGCCCUGAAAAUGGAUGGCGCUCAAGCGUCGGGCCUAUGCUCUGCCGUAGAUCCAAGUUGUUUUGGUCUACGAGUAGGAUGGC